rnacentral:rRNA from 1 species
CCAAUAGCGUAUAUUAAAGUUGCUGCAGUUAAAAAGCUCGUAGUUGAAUUUCGGGACCAAUAUGUCGGUCGUGCCUCGGUACGUACUGGCAUCGUUGGUUUCUCCUUUCUGAAGAACCAUGAUGUCAUUUAUUUGGUGUCGUGGGGAAUCAGGACUGUUACUUUGAAAAAAUUAGAGUGUUUAAAGCAGGCUCACGCUUGAAUACAUUAGCAUGGAAUAAUGAAAUAGGACGUUUGAUUCUAUUUUGUUGGUUUCUAGGAUCGACGUAAUGAUUAAUAGGGAUAGUUGGGGGCAUUAGUAUUCAAUUGUCAGAGGUGAAAUUCUUGGAUUUAUUGAAGACUAACUACUGCGAAGGCAUUUGCCAAGGAUGUUUUCAUUAAUCAAGAACGAAAGUUAGGGGAUCGAAGACGAUCAGAUACCGUCGUAGUCUUAACCAUAAACUAUGCCGACUAGGGAUCGGAUGAUGUUAAUUUUUUAAUGACUCAUUCAGCGCCUUACG